ensembl:lncRNA
GGAAAAUAAGAACCAAGUCUAUGAGGACGUUCUUCUCAUUGGGCAGGUGUGUGUUAGUUGGUUUGUAUAGGGAAAAGGUUCAUUUGUUCUUCAUAGUAUAUGCACCGAUACAUUUGCUGAGCCUUGACUGUGCGUGUGCAUUGCAGGAGAGAUGUGUAGAGGACUGGCCAGAGGACAGCCCCCAGCUUUCUCCCAGCUGGAAGCCGGCUGGAAAGUUAAGACUGAGGAGGGAUUCUUUGAAGGUGAGCCAUUGAUAAAUAACAUUCAGGACAUUCAUUUUAUAAAUAAAUAAUUAGAUUUUAUUUUUAAUGCAUUAUUUCUCGCACUUUUAAUGUGUACUGUUCUACUUAGAUCACUGCAGAGUCUGAGGCAGCCCUGACUUCAGAGACUCUUGGGAAGAAACAUGGCAAAGGGAAACUGAGCAAGAAGUUGAGGUCCUCAUUCUUAUCUAGAAGAGGGUCAAAGGUAAAUGCAUCAUACACACUGACCUUGAUUGUAAUUUUUAAAAAAAAUAUUCGAAGCAGCUGAAUAUGAAACAGAAUGAUGAUGUUGGGUUUCAGGAUAAGUUUGGAGACGACCUGAAGGCGGCACAGACAGCAGCGCUCGGCCGAGAGUUCAAGGAGAGAACCUCUGACAGCUUGAAUGGUGGCUAUGGGGGGACCCUGCCUUGGGGAACAAAGUUCCAUGACGGUGCCUUAGAUGACGUUUUCUCAUCUGAUCAAGAUGAACACAGUGCAGCAGUGGCCAGCAAACGUGUGAAGCAGAAGAAAAGAAUAAAAGUAUCCGUUCCUCCCUUACGUUACCGAACAUCUUCCAAGAUAAAGUCCAACAGUGAUGUUCCUGAUAAUGGAUUAGGCCAUUCCACCGUCUUGCCAGCUUCCAAGGAAGACCGAUUUAUGAGAACCGAUGCUGAAAAGACUCGCUUCUCUGCAGACGUCUUGGAUUCAUUUAGGCCUCCGAAUAAGGAGGAGGGGGCGACUGGAUAUACCCCUUCGUUGGAGUCAAAGGCAGGUUACCAGGAUGAGCCUUUCUCUCCGAAUGGUGCCGAGCAACUAGAAAUGCAGGACUGUCGACCUAAGAAACCUGUUAGGUUUAUAGUUCCCCGGCUGCCUCGGAAAGAAUCGAAGAGCACAGCAGAGGACGUCCCACAGAAAGGGGCAGAUCUAUUUAAAGCCAGUGACGUUAACGGCUCUGAACUGAAUGGACAUGAGGAUUAUAAUGAGGUAUUUUAA